rnacentral:rRNA from 1 species
CCUACGGGGGGCAGCAGUGAGGAAUAUUGGUCAAUGGACGAGAGUCUGAACCAGCCAAGUAGCGUGAAGGAUGACUGCCCUAUGGGUUGUAAACUUCUUUUAUAUGGGAAUAAAAUGUUCCACGUGUGGGAUUUUGUAUGUACCAUAUGAAUAAGGAUCGGCUAACUCCGUGCCAGCAGCCGCGGUAAUACGGAGGAUCCGAGCGUUAUCCGGAUUUAUUGGGUUUAAAGGGAGCGUAGGUGGAUUGUUAAGUCAGUUGUGAAAGUUUGCGGCUCAACCGUAAAAUUGCAGUUGAAACUGGCAGUCUUGAGUACAGUAGAGGUGGGCGGAAUUCGUGGUGUAGCGGUGAAAUGCUUAGAUAUCACGAAGAACUCCGAUUGCGAAGGCAGUUCACUGGACUGCAACUGACACUGAGGCUUGAAAGUGUGGGUAUCAAACAGGAUUAGAUACCCUUGUAGUC